GACGAACGCUGGCGGCGUGCUUAACACAUGCAAGUCGAACGGUGAAGCGCCUUCCUUUUUGGUGGGUGUGGAUGAGUGGCGAACGGGUGAGUAACACGUGAGUAACCUGCCCCCUUCUUCUGGAUAACCGCAUGAAAGUGUGGCUAAUACGGGAUAUUCUGGGUCUGUCGCAUGAUGGGUCUGGGAAAGAUAUUGUUUCGGUGGGGGAUGGGCUCGCGGCCUAUCAGCUUGUUGGUGGGGUGAUGGCCUACCAAGGCGGUGACGGGUAGCCGGCCUGAGAGGGUGGACGGUCACACUGGGACUGAGACACGGCCCAGACUCCUACGGGAGGCAGCAGUGGGGAAUAUUGCACAAUGGGCGCAAGCCUGAUGCAGCGACACCGCGUGAGGGAUGGAGGCCUUCGGGUUGUGAACCUCUUUCGCCAGUGAAGCAGGCCUGCCUCGUUUGUGGGUGGGUUGACGGUAGCUGGAGAAGAAGCGCCGGCUAACUACGUG
rnacentral:rRNA from 1 species